AUGGCGCCCCGCACCUGGCUCAACCUGACUCCCGGCACGAUCUCCUCCUGGAGCGAGAUGCGCACCUGCUUCAUCGCCAACUUUCAGGGCACUCGCGACCGGCCCCCGGUUGUGAGCGACCUGCGCCGCAUCAAGCAACAGCCAGGAGAAACCCUGGAGAAGUACAUCCAGCACUUCAACUACGCUCGCCUCAAGAUCCCCAAGGUAACUGAAAAAGCUAUCAUCUCGGUCUUCUCCGACGGCGUGCGCGACGUCAAGAUGAAGGAAGAGCUAGCAAUCCAUGAAGACCUGUGCACAUCUCUGGAGCUGUUCAACUUGGCGACCAAGUGCGCCAGGGCUGAGGAAGGGCGUCUCUACCUCCUCGAGCUCCCGGCAGCCGGCCCAGAAGAAAAGAAGCUCAAGGCCAAAGACGUGAAGCGCAAGGGGGCUGCCGUGCUAGCAACGGAACCGGACACAAAGCGAGGCAGGGAUCAGCCUGAGUCAUCCAAGGGCAGACUGUACUGCGUGUACCACGACCUUCACACCCACAACACCAACGAAUGUCAAGAGCUCAGAGCCAUGCGAGAUGGGCGAAUCGGCCGGCGUCCAGAGCGCAACGACAGGGGCUAUGGCCGAGGACGAGGAAGAGGUGGCGGACGAUGGGAAGACCGCGGCCUUCGCCAGGGAUGGUGUGACCGCCCUCGCGAGGACCGCUAG
rnacentral:rRNA from 1 species